GGUGGUAAUGAUGAUGUUCAUCUUUGAUCUUUUCUGCGUGGCGGUUUAACCCAGUGGCUCCUGCUAGCAGUGGUUAAAAGCAAAACACCUUUCAACUUCAAUCAGGACAGCGGGGGAUACAAAGACCAAGGGAGGAGACAGUAAAGACAAUUUUCCUCCGUAUCCCAUAACACAAGAUGCGAAGCCAUAACCCAACCAAACUGAAGACACAAACAUCUAAAGAGGAGAUGCACCAGGAAUUAGUACAGGACUAAGUCAGCUCUAAACUGUGCGUACAUACAAGCCCUGGAAGGAUGUUUGAAGGAUGGCCGUUCACAGUGUGGCUCCAGGAAUGUAAAGCCAGUCAGCAAUGGCAGUGGGCAGAUGAGUCAUGACUUGCAGUCUCAUCCACCAGUAGGUCUCCAUGGGAUUGUAGCGGUUGCUUGGGUGUGUGGAGACGAGCGCGUUGGUGAUGUCAUUCAAGACAAGAGACAUGUCCUUCAGGCCGCUGUUAACAAAGGACUUCAUCGUGGCCACGUGGCGAGUGAAGUACUCCCUGCCAUAGUCCUCCCGCACGGUGUUGCUGGCUCCACUCCACAGCACCUCGGCCUGCUUGUCGAUGCCGUCCUCUGUCAGGAUGCCAGUCGCUGCCACGAAGUUACUGGGCUCGAUGAGGAUGACUUUGACCCCCCAGCGAUACAUCUCCUGCCGGAGGCAGUCGGAGAAGGCAGCCACCCCAAACUUGGAAAUGCAGUAGCAGGAGCGAGAUGGGCUCACCAUCCGUCCUAACAUGCUUGUGAUGUUCACUACACGGCCUGGAGAGGAAAGAGCAAUGAGAAAUGACUGACUGGUUGUUCCCAGUGAGGUCAGCAUGGGCUACAGGAGCAGCAGUGACGACGUUCUAGUAAAAAGGUGCUUUGUUGGAUGGCACUGAUUUGUGAAAUCUGUAUCUUGAAGUAGUGUCCAAAUCUUCUGUCAGGAGUCUCUCCAGACUCAAGCAGGCCAGCCUCAGCUCUGACCUCUUCAGUGGGUGGUCCACAUACCUGCCUAUGUACAGAGAAGGAUGUACAAAGCAUACAAGACAUCUUCUUCCUUCUAAUUUCCAAGUAAGUCAGCGUCUGUAUCUUCUCAGGCUACUAGCUGUAUGCUCUUACACCAGUGUUCACCAGUAGAACCAGUGAGCCUGCAGCACAAGAGCUGUAAUUUUCUCACCUCACUGGUUGGCCAGGACUGCCUACAGCAUGGGAUACAUGGAGAAGAGACUUGAUGUGCUUCUGUCUAUGGCACAGCAAAGAGCAUUUGUUCAAACGCUUACGAGCAGCCCAUGUCAGCCUAACAGCAGAGCCCUGGCAGCUUGUGCUAGAUCACUGUCUGAGGGCAGUGGUGGUAGUAGCAGUCACCCCUCCGUGGGGAACUGUCCUUCCUCACCAAGUGUGGGAUUACAGCUUCGGCUACGCUUACAAGACAGGCCCUUGAAAUCUCAUCAGCUAUUCCCACAAAGAGGAUUUUCACAGCCAUGGAGUAUGACACCUUUCUGCAGCUUGAAACUUCAGCCGAGAAACAAGUGGGUGGUUCUGUACUCUCAUUACAGAGCAAAGCAAAGUUUGGAGGGACUGUGAGAACCACUUACUGAUCUGAUGGAUAAGUGGCAUUCUGUAGUAAGAUGGGGCUCGUUUAGUGGGUACUUUCUGGAAAUGGUAUCCGAGCAAUCUGCUCAAUAUAGCCUCUUUCUGUCCUCACAGAACAUAUAGCUGUACCAGCAUUCUCCCACACACACUAAAUAAAGAAGUUCUUCAGA